GAUGAACGCUGGCGGCGUGCCUAAUACAUGCAAGUCGAGCGAACGGACGAGAAGCUUGCUUCUCUGAUGUUAGCGGCGGACGGGUGAGUAACACGUGGAUAACCUACCUAUAAGACUGGGAUAACUUCGGGAAACCGGAGCUAAUACCGGAUGAUAUUUUGAACCGCAUGGUUCAAAAGUGAAAGACGGUCUUGCCGUCACUUAUAGAUGGAUCCGCGCUGCAUUAGCUAGUUGGUAAGGUAACGGCUUACCAAGGAAACGAUGCAUAGCCGACCUGAGAGGGUGAUCGGCCACACUGGAACUGAGACACGGUCCAGACUCCUACGGGAGGCAGCAGUAGGGAAUCUUCCGCAAUGGGCGAAAGCCUGACGGAGCAACGCCGCGUGAGUGAUGAAGGUCUUCGGAUCGUAAAACUCUGUUAUUAGGGAAGAACAUAUGUGUAAGUAACUGUGCACAUCUUGACGGUACCUAAUCAGAAAGCCACGGCUAACUACGUG
rnacentral:rRNA from 1 species